GUCAACUGAAGCGACUGUUAAGAAGAAUGAAUUUACGUCGUCGUGGUGCUUCAAAUAUCCAAGUGGUCCGGCGAGCAGUACAGGAAGAACUAAAUGGCAGUGGUGCUUAUCUCGGAUGUAGGUCAAUGCGGUCACGGCUGCAGUCGUCAUAUGGCCUAUCAGUACCAAGAGAUACAGUCCUCCAGCUUCAGCGUGAGUUAGACCCAGAAGGUGUGGAGAUGAG